GGGGAUGUAGCUCAGUGGUAGAGCGCCCGCUUUGCAUGACAUGUCUUGCGGGAGGCCCAGAUUUCGACUAUCUGCUUCUCCA